AUGCUUCGAAGGUAUAACACCGAGAUGACCACCCGUGGACCGUGUGCAUAUGAUGUGUGUAUGACAUGGUUGCAUGUAUCUGUUGCUCCCCGCGCACGAUGUAUCUCUUGCACGUUCCUCAUUGUUUGCCAUGUCGUCGACCCGUGGGAACCCGGUAACCGGGAUCACCCUACCAUCUCUAGCAUGUUCCGCACAUCCGCACACUUGCUCUUGUGCACCGGAAUCUCAAUGAGUUGUCGGAUCAUCGGAAUGUUGCCGUGGCACCAUUUCCAUUGUCGUUGCCGUGGCACCCCUUUCGCGCCGCCACAUUGA
rnacentral:rRNA from 1 species